CCUUAGAGUUUGAUCCUGGCUCAGGAUGAACGCUAGCGGCAGGCCUAACACAUGCAAGUCGAGGGGUAAGGCUUUCUUCGGAGAGCACACGACCGGCGCACGGGUGAGUAACGCGUAUGUAACCUUCCUCUUUCAGGAAGAUAGCUCCCGGAAACGGGAAUUAAUAUUCCAUAGUCCAUAAUAAUCACAUGAUUAGUAUGGUAAAGUUCCGACGGAAAGAGAUGGACAUGCGUGUCAUUAGUUAGUUGGUGAGGUAACGGCUCACCAAGACGACGAUGACUAGGGGUUCUGAAAGGAUGAUCCCCCACACUGGUACUGAGACACGGACCAGACUCCUACGGGAGGCAGCAGUGAGGAAUAUUGCGCAAUGGAGGCAACUCUGACGCAGCCAUGCCGCGUGCAGGAGGACGGCCCUACGGGUUGUAAACUGCUUUUCUUAACUAAGAACCGUGGAUAAUCUUAUCCACCUGACUGGUUUUGGAAUAAGCAUCGGCUAACUCCGUGCCAGCAGCCGCGGUAAUACGGAGGAUGCAAGCGUUAUCCGGAUUCACUAGGUUUAAAGGGUGCGUAGGCGGAAUAAUAAGUCAGUGGUGAAAUCUUGCGGCUCAACCGUAAAAUUGCCAUUGAUACUGUUAUUCUUGAGUAUGGUUGAGGUAGGCGGAAUGAGUAAUGUAGCGGUGAAAUGCUUAGAUAUUACUCAGAACACCGAUUGCGUAGGCAGCUUACCAAGCCAUCACUGACGCUGAGGCACGAAAGCGUGGGUAGCAAACGGGAUUAGAUACCCUGGUAGUCCACGCCGUAAACGUUGAUUACUCGUUGUUGGCAAUACACCGUCAGCGACUGAGCAAAGCAUUAAGUAAUCCACCUGGGGAGUACGUCAGCAUGAUGAACUCAAAGGAUNACGGGGCCGCCAGCGGAGGACNUGUGGUUAUCGAUGA
rnacentral:rRNA from 1 species